UUCUUUCUUUGGUAGCAAUAUAAUAAAACUGCAACACUACAAAGUGGACUAGCACAUCCUCUGCAUAAGGAUGACACACUAGUUUCUGAAGCCCUCUAUAGUUUU